rnacentral:rRNA from 1 species
CACGUAGGGCGCAAGCGUUGUCCGGAAUUAUUGGGCGUAAAGAGCUCGUAGGCGGUCUGUUGCGUCCGCUGUGAAAACCCGGGGCUUAACCCCUGGCUUGCAGUGGAUACGGACAGACUAGAGGUAGGUAGGGGAGAAUGGAAUUCCCGGUGUAGCGGUGAAAUGCGCAGAUAUCGGGAGGAACACCACUGGCGAAGGCGACUCGCUGGCUCGCAACUGACGCUGAGACGCGAAAGCGUGGGGAGCGAACAGG